UUUUGGUCAAGCUACUAAGGGCGCAUGGUGGAUGCCUUGGCACCGGAAGGCGAUGAAGGACGUGGCUAGCUGCGAUAAGCCUCGGGGAGCCGUAAGCAGGCUUUGAUCCGGGGAUUUCCGAAUGGGGAAACCCGGCACGGGUAAUGCCGUGUCAUCCCUUGGCUGAACACAUAGGCCUUGGAAGGCGAACGCAGGGAAGUGAAACAUCUCAGUACCUGCAGGAAGAGAAAGCAACUGCGAUUCCGCUAGUAGCGGCGAGCGAAAGCGGAUCAGCCUAAACCGACGUUUGUGUAAGCCUGUGAGCGUUGCAGCGUCGGGGUCGUGGGGCCUACCGUUCCGAAUCACAGUUCGGAGGAAGAGUUAGCAAGUACGGAUCUAGUGGAACAGGCUGGAAAGCCUGGCCAUAGAGGGUGAAAGCCCCGUACGCGAAAGAUCACGUACCUCUUCUGGUAGAACCCCGAGUACGGCGGAACACGUGAAAUUCCGUGGGAAUUUGCGAGGACCAUCUCGUAAGGCUAAGUACUACCUGGUGACCGAUAGUGAACAAGUACCGUGAGGGAAAGGUGAAAAGAACCCCGGUAAGGGGAGUGAAAUAGAACCUGAAACCAUGUGUCUACAAACAGUGGGAGGACGUUGGCCGACUUCGGUCGGUACUGUCCGACCGCGUACCUUUUGCUUAAUGGGCUGGCUAGUUACUCUGUACAGCGAGGUUAAGUUUUAGGCGAGCCGUAGGGAAACCGAGUCUUAAUAGGGCGUUUAGUUGUGUGGAGUAGACGCGAAGCCUGGUGAUCUAUCCUUGGCCAGGGUGAAGCGUGGGUAACACCACGUGGAGGCCCGAACCAGUGUCGGUUGAAAACGGCUUGGAUGAGCUGUGGGUAGGGGUGAAAGGCUAAUCAAACCAGGGGAUAGCUCGUUCUCUCCGAAAUAGCUUUAGGGCUAGCCUCGAUGGUUGGUCCGCGGAGGUAGAGCACUGGAUGGGCUAGGGGGCUUACCCGCUUACCGAACCCAACCAAACUCCGAAUACCGCGAAACUUAUCUCGGGAGUCAGACUGUGGGGGAUAAGCUUCAUGGUCGAAAGGGAAACAGCCCAGAUCGCCAGCUAAGGUCCCUAAGUGCAAGCUAAGUGGGAAAGGAUGUCCAGGCGCAAAAACAGCCGGGAGGUUGGCUUAGAAGCAGCCAUCNNAGUGAAUGGGUGCCGAAAAUUCACCGGGGCUCAAGCUUGCCACCGACGCUGCGGGUCAUCGUGAACUCCGGUUCACGGUGGCGGUAGGAGAGCGUUCCACAUUGAUUGAAGUCAGACCGACAAGGACUGGUGGACGAUGUGGAAGUGAGACUGCCGGCACGAGUAGCGAUAAAGAGGGUGAGAACCCCUCUCGCCGAAAGUCUAAGGUUUCCUGAGGAAGGUCAGUCCGCUCAGGGUUAGUCGGCCCCUUAGUCGAGGACGAAGGUCGUAGACGAAGGGAAGCCGGUCAAUAUUCCGGCCCCGCCUGGUUGACGUUUGACCGAAGGGGGGACGCAGGAGGAUAGNNNNNNNNNNNNNNNNNNNNNNNNNNNNNNNNNNNNNNNNNNNNNNNNNNNNGUGUAGUCGGGAGGUCUAGGAAAAUCCGGACCUCUGUUAACGAUGAGACGUGAUGUCGAGAUCUUUGGAUCGCAAAGUGAGUGAUUCCAUGCUGCCAAGAAAAGCCUCUAGGGAGUGAAUCAGGUGACCGUACCGCAAACCGACACAGGUAGACGGGGAGAGUAUCCCAAGGCGCUUGAGUGAACUCUGGCUAAGGAACUCGGCAAAUUGGCCCCGUAACUUCGGGAGAAGGGGC
rnacentral:rRNA from 1 species